rnacentral:rRNA from 1 species
AACGAACGCUGGCGGCAUGCCUAACACAUGCAAGUCGAACGAAGGCUUCGGCCUUAGUGGCGCACGGGUGCGUAACGCGUGGGAAUCUGCCCUUUGGUUCGGAAUAACAGCUGGAAACGGCUGCUAAUACCGGAUGAUGACGAAAGUCCAAAGAUUUAUCGCCAGAGGAUGAGCCCGCGUUGGAUUAGGUAGUUGGUGGGGUAAAGGCCUACCAAGCCGACGAUCCAUAGCUGGUCUGAGAGGAUGAUCAGCCACACUGGGACUGAGACACGGCCCAGACUCCUACGGGAGGCAGCAGUGGGGAAUAUUGGACAAUGGGCGCAAGCCUGAUCCAGCAAUGCCGCGUGAGUGAUGAAGGCCCUAGGGUUGUAAAGCUCUUUUACCCGGGAAGAUAAUGACUGUACCGGGAGAAUAAGCCCCGGCUAACUACGUG